AGUGAACGCUGGCGGUAGGCCUAACACAUGCAAGUCGAACGGCAGCACAGGAGAGCUUGCUCUCUGGGUGGCGAGUGGCGGACGGGUGAGGAAUACAUCGGAAUCUACUUUUUCGUGGGGGAUAACGUAGGGAAACUUACGCUAAUACCGCAUACGACCUACGGGUGAAAGCAGGGGACCUUCGGGCCUUGCGCGAUUGAAUGAGCCGAUGUCGGAUUAGCUAGGUGGCGGGGUAAAGGCCCACCAAGGCGACGAUCCGUAGCUGGUCUGAGAGGAUGAUCAGCCACAAUGGAACUGAGACACGGUCCAGACUCCUACGGGAGGCAGCAGUGGGGAAUAUUGGACAAUGGGCGCAAGCCUGAUCCAGCCAUACCGCGUGGGUGAAGAAGGCCUUCGGGUUGUAAAGCCCUUUUGUUGGGAAAGAAAUCCAGCUGGCUAAUACCCGGUUGGGAUGACGGUACCCAAAGAAUAGGCACCGGCUAACUUCGUGCCAGCCGCCGCAGUAA
rnacentral:rRNA from 1 species